rnacentral:rRNA from 1 species
AACCUCCGCAAUGCGAGCAAUCGCGACGGGGGACCCAAGUGCCACUCUUAACGGGGUGGCUUUAUGAAGUGCUUCAAGAAUAAGAGCUGGCAAGACCGGUGCCAGCCGCCGCGGUAACACCGGCAGCUCUAGUGGUAGCCAUUUUUAUUGGGCCUAAAGCGUUCGUAGCCGGCUUGAUAAGUCUCUGGUGAAAUCCCACAGCUUAACUGUGGGAAUGCUGGAGAUACUAUCAGGCUUGAGGCCGGGAGAGGCUGGAGGUACUCCCGGGGUAGGGUGAAAUCCUAUAAUCCUGGGAGGACCACCUGUGGCGAAGGCGUCCAGCUGGAACGGCCUGACGGUGAGUAACGAAGCCGGGGGGCGCUAACCGGAUUAGAUACCCGGGUAGUCCUGGCCGUAACGAUGUGGACUUGGUGUGGGACAGUGCCGAAGGGAAGCUGUUAAGUCCACCGCCUGGGAAGUACGGUCGCAAGACUGAAACUUAAGGAAUUGGCGGGGAGC